rnacentral:misc_RNA from 1 species
GAUGAAGAACGCAGCGAAAUGCGAUAAGUAAUGUGAAUUGCAGAAUUCAGUGAAUCAUCGAAUCUUUGAACGCACAUUGCGCCCGUCAGUAUUCUGGCGGGCAUGCCUGUUCGAGCGUCAUUACGCCCCUCAAGUCCCCUGUGGACUUGGUGUUGGGGAUCGGCGAGGCUGGUUUUCCAGCACAGCCGUCCCUUAAAUUAAUUGGCGGUCUCGCCGUGGCCCUCCUCUGCGCAGUAGUAAAACACUCGCAACAGGAGCCCGGCGCGGUCCACUGCCGUAAAACCCCCCAACUUUUUAUAGUUGACCUCGAAUCAGGUAGGACUACCCGCUGAACUUAAGCAUAUCAAUAAGCGUAGGA